rnacentral:rRNA from 1 species
UGAGGAAUUUUGGACAAUGGGGGAAACCCUGAUCCAGCGACGCCGCGUGAGGGAUGAAGGUCUUCGGAUUGUAAACCUCUUUUGUUCGGGAAUAAGAAAGUCUUGGAAACAAGAUAAGUGAAUGUACCGGAUGAAUAAGCCACGGCUAACUUCGUGCCAGCAGCCGCGGUAAUACGAAGGUGGCAAGCGUUACUCGGAAUUACUAGGCGUAAAGGGCAGGUAGGUGGUUUGGUAAGUUUGUUGUGAAAGCUCCUGGCUUAACUGGGAGAGGUCAACAAAUACUGCCAGGCUUGAGUAUGGGAGAGGUUACUGGAAUUCCCGGUGUAGCGGUGAAAUGCGCAGAGAUCGGGAGGAACACCAAUGGCGAAAGCAGGUAACUGGACCAUUACUGACACUAAGCUGCGAAAGCUAGGGGAGCAAACAGGAUUAGAUACCCCUGUAGUCC